AGUGAACGCUGGCGGUAGGCCUAACACAUGCAAGUCGAACGGCAGCACAGUAAGCGCUUGCUCUUACGGGUGGCGAGUGGCGGACGGGUGAGGAAUACAUGGGAAUAUACUCUUUCGUGGGGGAUAACGACGGGAAACGUACGGUAAUACAGCAUACGACCUACGGGAGAAAGCAGGGGAUCUUCGGUCCUUACGCGAUUGAAUGAGCCGGUGUCGGAUUAGUUAGUGGGCGGGGUAAAGGCCCACCAAGGCGACGCGCCGUAGCUGGUCUGAGAGGAUGAUCGGCCAUACUGGAACUGAGACACGGGCCAGACUCCGACGGGGAGCAGCAGUGGGGAAUAUUGGACAAUGGGCGCAAGCCUGAUCCAGCAAUACCGCGUGGGUGAAGAAGGCCUUCGGGUGGUAAAGCCCUUUUGUUGGGAGAGAAAAGCAGCAGGUUAAUACCCCGCUGUUAUGACGGUACCCAAAGAAUAAGCACCGGCUAACUUCGUG
rnacentral:rRNA from 1 species